AAUAGAGGAUGCAAGCAUUAUCUGGAAUUAUUGGGCGUAAAGUGUCUGUAGGUGGCUUUUCAAGUCCGUCAUCAAAUCCCAGGGCUCAACCCUGGACAAGCGGUGGAAACUACCAAGCUAGAGUAUGGUAGAGGCAGAGGGAAUUUCUGGUGGAGCGAUGAAAUGUGUUGAGAUUGGGAAGAACACCAACAGGUGAAAGCACUCUGCUGGGCCAUCACUGACACUCAGAGACGAAAGCUAGGGGAGCGAAUGGG
rnacentral:rRNA from 1 species